UGUAGAGAAAAAAAGGAUCUAUGUUUUCAGGCCAGCAACACAACUGAUGAAAUAACAAUUUUAUGCUGCACUGUGUGUAGUUUGUUGCAAACCCUUAUGAUAAGACAGGGCUUGUCCUGAACAAAUGAUUUUCAAAACAGACAAUAGCAGAGCAUAAAAGAUGGGAAGAGAUGAAAUCUGCAAUUGCCUUCACAAGUUUCCCUCUACAUCAGGAAAUCUGAAAAAAUGGGAUUUUUACAUCUCUCAAGCCAGCACUGAAAACGAAUGGGGAUUGAAUUGCUUUGCCUCUGUUUCCUAUUUCUGCAAAGAAAUAACAAUGUGCAAGGUAAGGCUCAGGGGCAGGGAGAUCCAUUUCAAAACCAUUUUUGCGUUGUCUCUUGCCUGAAGUUGACAUGAAAUAGCUUUCUGUCCUCUGUAUUUAAUCAUUCCUUUCUGUUUAAUGACUUUUUUUUUGACAGACUGCUGUAAGGUUACCCUGCAAAUUCAUCUGAGAUUUAUGUGGCUGUUACAUAGCACAGCAUGUAUGAAAGAGAUGGGCAUUCGAGAAAUUUUGGUUAUUCUAAUCACUGUUUGAUCCACUGAGAAACUUAAUACUCUACAUGUGACUGAGUAAUUCACUUGUACUUGCACAACAAAGUAAAUCAUAUCUAGUGUCUACAGACCUGAGUGAAGCAAUUUUAAGCAUAUAGAGUGAACGUAGAGCUGUUCUUUUAAUAUCCCUGGUUAUGCUGGAAAUGUCUUACCUGCACCAUACUAGAAACACAUGUAACGCUUUAUCAGGUGCACUGGAAAAAACAAAUAACAUGUUCUCAGUGAAUGCCAUCCAUAAAGCAUGCAAAAGUAUGUUAAUUGUUGGCAAUUGUGGAUUUUUAAUUUUUAUUGGAGUGUUAAUCUUCUACUAAUAGAAAUACUGUUACGAAGGAAUUUUAUCUGUAAACCUAAAUAUGGCU
rnacentral:lncRNA from 1 species